rnacentral:lncRNA from 1 species
CUGAGAUGUAGUGGAGUAGAAGCACAACAUAGAAGUACUCAAGUUAAGUACAAGCACUGGAGAGGACUGACUGUUAAGCUAUCUCUUAGAUAGAAGUCAUUCAUUAUUCAAAAGUAACGAUGUCUUUUCACCAGGCUGACAAAACUAGUCUUGUACGAAGCCACAGAUAGGGCAGGGGCAUAGGGCUGACAUUGAGCCCUUCUGGAUGUGGCUCACUGCACUCACCUGGAAAACAAGCUUCAGGGAAUGGACACGUGAACACCUACACAGUAUAAUUAAUGCUCAAAGUUUUCAUUUCAAUUAUUUCCUAUAAGACUUACAUUAAGUAUUCUAAGAUACAUUUUGGAAUUUGAGAACAACAAAUGAUCAAUCAGUCAACAUGUUUGUUAAAUUGAAAUGUCAUGACACCAACCUACCAAAUCACCUCUUUGCCAAUCCUUACAACCUACUUUCUUUCUUUCUUUUACGUGUAAUAGAAACAUAAUUUCACAUGGGAAGAAUUUAGGACUGAUGAAUUAAGACUCUGGUAUUUAAUAAUAACAAGCAGGCUUUAUAUCACUUAUUCCCAUACUUACACUUUGAGAAAUCACUUUAUAUUACAACAAAUAACUACAGUAUACUAUACACCACUGCUAUACAAUCUUGUUUAGACGUUCAGUAUAUUGUUGCAGUGACUCCUGCACAGAAUAUUGAUUUGAACAGCAACCCUUGCCACACAUAAUUUUUUAAGUUGUUUUAUUUCAGGACACUACAAACUCAGUUGAUCAUCUCAGCUGUGGACUUGAGAGGUACAAGGACUUACAGAAGUAUUUCAACAGGAGACUGAAGGCAGCAUACCGCAGAUUCUCCAACAUGCCUGAUCCCUCAUUGGUCUGUGGACUUCACCAUGUGUAUUUCAUUGAGGGUGACGGCAUCUACAGAAUGGACCGGAGACAAAGUGAGCAGAAAACAUGAAUUUGACUACUUUUGGUAACAACUCGUAAAGUCAGAAACUUGAGAACAGAGCCCUGUAAUGAUAUUGCAUUCUAAC